GAAUGUUAUCACGGGAGACACACGGCGGGUGCUAACGUCCGUCGUGAAGAGGGAAACAACCCAGACCGCCAGCUAAGGUCCCAAAGUCAUGGUUAAGUGGGAAACGAUGUGGGAAGGCCCAGACAGCCAGGAUGUUGGCUUAGAAGCAGCCAUCAUUUAAAGAAAGCGUAAUAGCUCACUGGUCGAGUCGGCCUGCGCGGAAGAUGUAACGGGGCUAAACCAUGCACCGAAGCUGCGGCAGCGACGCUGAUGCGUUGUUGGGUAGGGGAGCGUUCUGUAAGCCUGUGAAGGUGGCCUGUGAGGGUUGCUGGAGGUAUCAGAAGUGCGAAUGCUGACAUAAGUAACGAUAAAGCGGGUGAAAAGCCCGCUCGCCGGAAGACCAAGGGUUCCUGUCCAACGUUAAUCGGGGCAGGGUGAGUCGACCCCUAAGGCGAGGCCGAAAGGCGUAGUCGAUGGGAAACGGGUUAAUAUUCCCGUACUUGGUGUUACUGCGAAGGGGGGACGGACGG
rnacentral:rRNA from 1 species